rnacentral:snRNA from 1 species
GAAUGUAAGGGCAAUCUGGAUGCAACAUCUGAAUGCAACAUUUGAUACCACUGAUCAUUAGGGUUGCUUCAGCUGGUCUAGCUGGCUAGGGAGGUGUCCCCUUUCUCCCUCACCAUCCUAUGUGUGUCCUCCCAAAGCCGUGUGCUCAGUGGAUGAGGUGCAGGAGGACCAUUCUGCAGUCAAGGGUGCACGAGUAGCUCCACUCCCCUGCUAGAACCUCCAAACAAGCAUGCAGAUGACACCCAGACUGAGAUGGAGGCUGAGGGAUGGAAUUAGAAUGGAAGAUAUAACAUUACUAAUGAACCACAAACAGGAAGCGUGUUUGGUUGG